rnacentral:ribozyme from 1 species
GCUGCUCAAAUAUGAUACCUCUCCGUGGCGGGUGGCAGACAACGAGAGUUCUCUCUCGGCUAAAGCAUAU